rnacentral:tRNA from 2 species
GCUCUCUUAGCUCAGUUGGUAGAGCACUUCACUCGUAACGAAGGGGUCACAAGUUCGAGUCUUGUAGGGAGCA